rnacentral:rRNA from 1 species
GUAGGUGGCAAGCGUUGUCCGGAAUUAUUGGGCGUAAAGCGCGCGCAGGCGGUUCUUUAAGUCUGAUGUGAAAGCCCACGGCUCAACCGUGGAGGGUCAUUGGAAACUGGAGAACUUGAGUACAGAAGAGGAAAGCGGAAUUCCACGUGUAGCGGUGAAAUGCGUAGAGAUGUGGAGGAACACCAGUGGCGAAGGCGGCUUUCUGGUCUGUAACUGACGCUGAGGCGCGAAAGCGUGGGGAGCAAACAGGACUAGAUACCCUGGUAGUCCACGCCGUAAACGAUGAGUGCUAAGUGUUAGGGGGGUUUUCCGCCCCCCUUAGUGCUGCAGCUAACGCAUUAAGCACUCCGCCUGGGAGUACGGCCGCAAGGCUG